rnacentral:rRNA from 1 species
UAAGUACAUAAGUAACCUGCCUAGACAGGGGAUAACUAUUGGAAACGAUAGCUAAGACCGCAUAGGUACGGACACUGCAUGGUGACCGUAUUAAAAGUAGCCUUCAAAGCACUGGUAGAGGAUGGACUUAUGGCGCAUUAGCUGGUUGGCGGGGUAACGGCCCACCAAGGCGACGAUGCGUAGCCGACCUGAGAGGGUGACCGGCCACACUGAGACUGAGACACGGCCCAG